CCUACGGGAGGCUGCAGUGGGGGAUAUUGCACAAUGGGGGGAACCCUGAUGCAGCGACGCCGCGUGUGGGAAGACGGUCCUCUGGAUUGUAAACCACUGUCCCCAGGGACGAAAAUGACGGUACCUGGGGAGGAAGCUCCGGCUAACUACGUACAAGCAGCCGCGGUAAUACGUAGGGAGCGAGGGUUGUCCGGAAUUACUGGGUGUAAAGGGAGCGUAGGCGGGGAUGCAAGUUGGGUGUCAAAACUACCGGCUCAACUGGUAGUCGCACUCAAAACUGCAGCUCUUGAGUGAAGUAGAGGCAGGCGGAAUUCGUAGUGGAGCGGUGAAAUGCGUAGAUAUUAGGAGGAACACCAGUGGCGAAGGCGGCCUGCUGGGCUUUUACUGACGCUGAGGCUCGAAAGUGUGGGGAGCAAACAGGAUUAGAUACCCCAGUAGUC
rnacentral:rRNA from 1 species